UCGGGACGUCCUACAACGCAUAGACGAGGAGCUUCCACAGCUUAAGUCUCAGUUGGAUCGGGAACUGGAAGAGGAGUAUCACCGCCUUCCCGAGGAGAUCUGCCAGCACCUACAGCUCGAGCUGCAAAACAAAAAUCUCCAAAAGAACGCGCUGUUCUCCGCCUUGUCCAAUCAUAGCAGUCCCAGUACAGGCUCGGGCCCGCCCUCCAACUGCUCCACGCCCUCUAACUCAUCAACGCCCAGUCGGAGCACUUUGCACAUGAGCCGGGACAAUAGCACCGUCUCUCUGGCCGAUUCCACUUCGUCGUCCACCACACCCGUCUUGUCAGACGCAGAAAUGUUGUUCAAUUAAAACUUUUACUCGUUCAAAGGAAUAUACAACAGGGGUCUAUAGUGAUUGUAAUGUGGGAUAGUAAUGAUGUAGAAUAUUUACUAAUUUUAUUCUUUCUUUUUAAUCCUGACCUUUUUUUGGUCUUGUCUACAGAGCUAUAUUAUUUUUUAUUUUGGCCGUUUUUGUCAGAAAACUCAUUGUGGAUUAUGUUGGAAUAAUUCAUAAGAAUCGUAACCAGAGCUGUUUUAUUUCAUUGUUCUUUUCUUGUCUUGCUUUUAAUGUCACCCCCCAUCAUUCCUAUUAUUUUGUGUGGUCAGUUAUCUUUUUUCCAGGCUUAUAAUGGCUUUAACCUCUUUUGUGGACUUUUCUGGAAAGCUUUAACCUGUGCAGAGGGGGGAGCAUAAUUAUAAACCACAUAAGUAGCUCCCAGCUCCUGAGAGUAAUGGUAAAGGGUACUUCUCACUACAAAUUUGAUCAGCUUUAUUUCUUCACAGCUUUAUCUCCUUGAGAAAGACAGGGGAAAUGAAACAGCCAAAGGAGAUUUUUAUUUUUCCCAGUUGUUAUGAGGUUAGAAAACUGCAUCCCAGAUGUGAGCAUGUGAGUAUCAGGACAGAUAAAACGGGAAAAGGGUGAUUUUAAAAUUCCAUUACAGCUGAACGUUUAGCUGUAAUGACAGUGGCUGACCAGCAGGUGGUGCUACAGCCUUAUCCAUUUUAUUUUUUUUAAAUUGGUGAUUUGAGCUGUCUGUGCAUGCAGCCUGAUAAUCCUAUUAGACUGUACCCCAACACACACGCCUGCACAUGCACACCUGGAUUUGCCGCGUCAUCGGUGGGGAUGAAGCCUCUGCCCUUUAACCCUCCAUGAAAUUGCAGCCAAUGAGGAAGGGGCAGAGGAGGGAGGGGGCAUGAGCGCACAUCCAUCUGGCUACAAAUUAUGAGGAGUUUUGGUGACGCAACACUCGCUUUCUAAAACAUGUGGGCAUCUCUCUCAACACAUAUACACAGUUUAUUGGUUCAGAAACCCAAAGUCUCUAAAAUCCUCAUCCCAUCCAAUCUGCUCCACGUAGAUGCGUAUUUAACGCACAAUAGGGACAAAUCAAAAUAAUUUUUUCCAAAUAUCAGCGAUUAUGACACUCAAGGGAAUUCGAGUGUGUAUGUGUGUGUGGCCAGAAUUUAAUCUGUUGAUGAGGCAUCUGCUUGUGGGGACAGUAAUACUUCUUACUAAAUGGAGAGAGUUGGUGUGUAUGCACUUCUGUUGGUGCAGUUAGUUUGACGUCAAAAGCUAAAGUAGUGCCAUUACUGUAGACGCCAGUCUGAUGAUGACACAGAGCGGCACUAUGACAUCUUAAUGUAAAAAUGCACUCAUUUUUCUUCUUUUUUUAAAUUAAGGCUUUCUAUUAGUGUGGUAUUAAUUAUUUAAUGCUGCUUGAACUUCACUAAAGCCUCAAAAAUACCACUUGCAUGUUUCCAUUUUUUUUUAAAAUGGACAUAAGGUACAUGUACAUUUUAUGUUAGCUUAAAUAUGCCCUUCCCACACAGUUCCUUCACUGUAUUGGAUAGCCAAAAAUGGUGUGUGGCAUGGUGAUGUACAAACUGAAUGGUACAUUUAAGUUAAAUAUCAGUUUCUGUCUCUUGCAGAGCUCCCUGUUUAGCUGUAUAUAUUUGAUUUUUUUCCUCUUUACUUUUUUGUCAGUUUAACAGCAGCGGUCUUUGUUUUCUUUUCUCGUCCUCAUCGAAGGGGGAAACGAUGGUACUUUAUUUGUGUGUACUGUGUAGGUAUUUAGCUGUAUGUGAAUUUUACUACUGACCACAAGUGCUGAUGAAAGAUGGAGGUGAGAGAGGUCAAAGACGGCUGAGAAGAGAAACGUGGGUUUCAUUUAAAUGUUUUCUCAAAGAAAAUAACUAUUGGAUGACGUUUUGGGAGUCCUGUCUUGUCCUCUCCUACGUCCAUCCUUCGAUGAGCACUGGCUGCCUGUAUUGUCUGUCUGAUUGCCCCCUUCACACACAUCAUGUAAACUGUCAUCUUUUGAAACUGAAUUUUAUACAACUUUUUGUCUUUUAUUGUGAUUCAAGUCUUUAUUGAUGAAAGACUGUGUCUAUUCAGGCUGCUGAAAAAUGAAACCCUUCAUAUCAAGUCCCCAUCACAGACUCAGUAUGUGUGUUAUUUUUUUUUGGCAUUUUAAUAUAUCUGACGAUUUAAUGGCGCUGUUCUUUGUUCUCAAAAAGGAAAUCUUUGAAACUAAUAACAGUUUUGCUUUGGUUGGUUUUUCAUAUAGGUCAACAGUAGGAUAGGAUGAUUUUCUGUGCCAUGCUCCAUAGAGUAGACCUACAUGUGCAUGCUUAUUUGUGUAGUGUGUUAUAGAUUUGAGCCUUUAUUUCCAACGUUGGUCUCAGAGGUGAAACUCUCAAAUAAUUUUACUUGCCAAAAAUGUCAACAUACUCCUCGCAGGUCGUCUGUUUUAUAGGUCAGCUUGGUCCAAGCGAUUUAAUUCAAUACUUUUUAUAGUGCCAAAUCACAGCACAAGUCAUCUCAGGGCACUUUACAUAGUAAGAUCAAUACUCUAUAAUAUUUCAAAGGGGGGAAAAAAAACAAAGAGUUAAGGACUUGGCAACAGUGGCAAGGAAAAACCCCCUUUUAACAGGAAAUGACCUCUGGCUUGACUACGCCCACUGAGGCUAGCCAUCUGCCUCAGCUUAUUGGGGCUGAGGGAGGAGCAAAGAGAGGAAAAAAGCACUGAGAAACAAAAGUCCAACACAUUCCAUAUCCAGUUAACACUAUCUAAUGUCCUUGAACUUCAUAAAGUCAUGACUAUUGGGUACUCGAGGUUUUUCCAUUCCUGUUUUUGAGGAGAAACGUACAUCCCAUUUUUCAUCUCUUUAUGUUUAAAUGCACUUUUACUCUAUUUUACGUGUAUAUAAAAACCUUUAGUUCCUGUGACGCCGACAUCAAUGCAACUACUUUCUAAGGAUUUUACUUUUUGUGUAACGUAUCAGCCGUUGUUUAUUUUGUGUACAAGAAAGGUUUUCCUCUUUGCACUUUGAGCUUGGAUUUAUUUUGUACUGUUCUUUUGGGUUUUGGAUGGAAAAUGUCAUCGCAUCCUAAAUGAGAGUUUUUAGAUUUUAAAAUUUUAGUGAGAAAUCAAACACAAGUCAUGCAUUGCUUGCCAGAAGCCACAUUUCUAAGCAGAUCUGAGAUUUCCAUGUGGAAGUCCAAUUUAAUAAUGCAACUCUUUUCUCUGCUGUUCGCAGGAAAUGUAUCUGUGUAUGCAAGUGAAUAAGUAGGCUACAGUAUUUCAAAUUCGUUUUUUCUUUUUGUGCAAAGCUUUUGAUAUAUGGACUCUUACUCUACUGUAGAAAUUCAUGUUGUCAGUGGCUUUACAGAUGAUGUACAGUGUCUUUAUAGAUGAGCUAAGACAAAGAUUUUAAAACCUUUUACAGAUGUCAGCUUAAUAUUAAUUUAUUUUAAGUAUAUUGGUGGGAUAACCUUCUGAGGCUAGGGGAAAAAGAGGAGGAGUCCAGUCUUCUUAAUAUAACGAUUAUAGGAUGUAUGUAUCUCCUCCUUCAUGAGUGGGCCAGUCUUUGCACGAGCAUCGUCUCACACUGCGAUUAUUAACAUUUUAUUAUAAAUUCUUUUGAUUUCCGUAUUUUUCAUCCCCCGCAAGUGCAAUGUUAAAUUGUCCAUGUGUGUUUAUUUUAGGUGUCAACAUAUGUCGCCCAUAUGUAACUUAACUUUGAAAAAUUUGUAUCGUUCGUGGAAUUUUAUUUGAGUCGCCCCUAAAUAUGGAAUGAAGAAUUUGAAAAAACACCGCUGGCCUGGCAACAACCACCAGUGAGGCAGUGAAAUAAUUAUAGUUUGAUAGUUUGGCAUGUAAAGGGUAGCAAGUGAAAAAUAAAUGUAAAAGUAUUUGCAUAGUCUAUUUAAAAAAAAAAAAAAAAAAAAAAAA